CAAGCCCUGGAAACGGGGUCUAAUACCGGAUACGACCUUCGGAGGCAUCUCCUGGAGGUGGAAAGAACUUCGGUCAAGGAUCAGCUCACGGCCUAUCAGUUAGUUGGUGAGGUAAUGGCUCACCAAGACGACGACGGGUAGCCGGCCUGAGAGGGUGACCGGCCACACUGGGACUGAGACACGGCCCAGACUCCUACGGGAGGCAGCAGUGGGGAAUAUUGCACAAUGGGCGCAAGCCUGAUGCAGCAACGCCGCGUGAGGGACGACGGCCUUCGGGUUGUAAACCUCUUUUAGCAGGGAAGAAGCGAAAGUGACGGUACCUGCAGAAAAAGCACCGGCUAACUACGUGCCAGCAGCCGCGGUAAUACGUAGGGUGCAAGCGUUGUCCGGAAUUAUUGGGCGUAAAGAGCUCGUAGGCGGUUUGUCACGUCUGCUGUGAAAUCCCGAGGCUCAACCUCGGGCUUGCAGUGGGUACGGGCAGACUAGAGUGCGGUAGGGGAGAUCGGAAUUCCUGG
rnacentral:rRNA from 1 species